UAUUUAAUACCCUUAAAACUUCCCACCUCCUGUAUCCUUAAUGAACUAAUUUAUAAAUAUAAAAGCACAAAUGUUAAAAUUAGUAAAAAGAUAUACUCUAAGCACGAGCCAUAUUAACAGUAAUAUGUGGGAUUAAUUAAAAUAAACCACUUACUAAACUGUAGACCCAACACAGGAGUGCAAAGAGAGAAUUAAAAAAUAUAAAAGGAACUCGGCAAUAAUCAAUCUCAACUGUUUACCAAAAACAUAGCCUUUAGCAAAAAGUAUUAAAGGUCACGCCUGCCCAGUGAAAAUUUUAAACGGCCGCGGGAUCUUCCACCGUGCAAAGGUAGCAUAAUCACUUGUCCCCUAAAUAGUGACUAGUAUGAAAGGCCAAAUGAAGAUUUAACUGUCUCUUAUAUUUUAUCCUUGAAAUUAAUCUACCAGUACAAAAGCUGGAAUAAAAACAUAAGACGAAAAGACCCUAUGGAACUUUAAGUAAUAUUUUAAUAAAUAACAUAAAACUUUUAGUUGGGGCAACUAUGGAAAUAAACAAAACUUCCACUAAAAUUUCACGAUAGACAUAUCUAUUUAAAACGUGACCCAGUCCUACUGACCAAAGAACCAAGCUACCCUAGGGAUAACAGCGCUAUCCCCUCCUAGAGCCCAAAUCGACGAGUGGGGUUUACGACCUCGAUGUUGGAUCAGGACCCCCAAACAGUGCAACCGCUGUUAAAGGUUUGUUUGUUCAACAAUUAAUAGUCCUACGUGAUCUGA
rnacentral:rRNA from 1 species